rnacentral:rRNA from 1 species
CCUGAUUGAUCUUGUCAGUCGUCAUAUGCUUGUCUCAAUGAUAUAAGCCAUGCAUGUGUAGUACACACACCCCUGAAUUGUUAGACUGCGGAAGGCUCAUUAAAUCAGUUACAAUCUACUCGAUCAUGAUAAAACUAAAUAAUACAAGGAUAACCGUAGUAAUUCUAGAGCUAAUACUUGCUAAAAACGACCGACUUAGCUUCGGCUUUGAAGGCGUACAUUAAGGUCCUUUAAGGAACCAUCAUUAAAUCAUGACAGAACCUUACUCUAGUUGAUCGCUAAGCAGGGUUUACCUUGCGGCGACGUUGCGAACGAGUUCCUGAGCUAUCAACUUUUGAUGGUAGUGUAGAGGACUACCAUGGUAAUAACGGCUACAGAAUAAGGGUUUGAUUCUGGAGAGGGAGCCUGAGAAAUAGCUACCACUUCCAAGGAAGGCAGCAGGCGCGCAAAUUACCCAAUGCUCAAAAGAGCGAGGUAGAGACGAGAAAUACCAAUGUAGGUGCUCUUUUAAGAGUGCUUGCGUUUGGAAUGAGUACAAUGUAAAUACCUUAACAAGGAACAACUGAGGGCAAGUCUGGUGCCAGCAGCCGCGGUAAUUCCAGCUCCAGUAGUGUAUAUGAAAGUUGCUGCAGUUAAAAAGCUCAUAGUUGGAUUGUUGCACAUCGAUUUUGGUUGGUCUUUCCUACUUCGGUGGGAUUGGUCUUCCAUUAUCUACAAGAUGUGAUAUUAGAGCCAUUGUACAUAUAGCUUUCGGGUUAUAUUGUCGGUGGUUUCAGUUUACUUUGAAUAAAUUAGAGUGCUCAAAGCAGGCUAAAUAGCCUUUGAAUAGAUAGCAUGGGAUAAUAGUAAUUAGACUUAAGUCUUGCUUGGUUGGUUCACAAGACAAUAGUAAUGAUUAGUAGGGGUAGUUGGGGUUAUUUGUAUUGAGUGGUUAGAGGUGAAAUUCUAAGACCCACUCAAGACAAACUAAAGCGAAAGCAUCUAACAAGGAUGUCUUCAUUGAUCAAGAACGAUAGUCAGGGGCUCAAAGAUGAUCAGAUACCGUCGUAGUCCUGACCAUAAAUUAUACCAACAAUGGCUCCGAAGGAGUCUACUUUAAAGCCACUUUGAAGGAUUGACCCUACCACUGCUUGGGUACAUUGUGAGAAAUCAUAAGUAUUCGGGUUCUGGGGGGAGUAUGGUCGCAAGGCUGAAACUUAAAAGAAUUGACGGAAGGGCACCACCAGGUGUGGAAUCUGCGGCUUCAAUUUGACCCAACACGGGAAAACUCACCAGGUCAGGACAUAGUAAGGAUUGACAGAUUGAAAGCUCUUUCUUGAUUCUAUUAAAAGGCGGUGCAUGGCCGUUCCAUAUUGGUGAAGUAAUUUGUCUGCUUAAUUGUGAUAACGGAUGAGACCUUGAUCUACUAAAUAGAAAGGUGCACUUGGUAGCUUUGGUAGGUGGCUGGCAGC